GCGGAGGUUGACAAUGGUUUUCGAGGGGUGUCAAUUUCAACUGUUAUCCUCCCAAACAGGCACUAUUUAUUUUGUUAUACUGAAUGUCUUUUUUAAAAUUUUUAAGAAAAUUUUACUGCUUUUAUAUAGGAAUAACGUGAAUUCUACAGCGAACCGUACGCGCAUAAUUUUCGCGCAUGUAACAUUUUUUAAUGUUACCCGUUGCCAAGUGCGUUGCUAACGCUGAGGGUAAUAGUAAAUAUUAUUAACUGCGUCUUAACCAAUCAGAUUUCAGUAUUUAACAUGAAAGUAUAACAAUAACAAUUGUUAGUUGAUAAUACGUCGUCAAUAUACCUGAAUGUUGAGUUGUAGGCCACAGCGAGUGAUUUAUUUUUUUCACGUACAAGGUUUUAAUCAAUUCUGCUUCACAAGAAUACAAAAAUAGGUCUGCUAACAAUGGGGCACAAUUGUUACCCAUGGGAAUUCCAACAGAUUGUUGGAAGACUUGAUUUCCGAAAACUACAUAGAAGUUAUUCACUAGUGUUAACAAAUUAUCAUACUUUUAAAAAAAAUUCAAAUACAGAAUUUGCGAUCUGUACAUAUUUUCUGCAAGUGCAUUAAGUGCCUCAAUAAUAAAGAUUCAUGACGCACUUUGAAUUUUUUUUUUUUAAAUUACGCUUAGUUGGUCCAAAAUUUAACACACUUUGAUAAAGUUUCCUAGGUGUGUUGAUUUGGUCCUAAAUUCAAAAACAAAUAUCAAAGUGCGAAAAUUUUUUUCUAAGUGCGUUGCCACAAUUACUUUAAUGGUGAAAUGGAAGAUGAUAAACGAAUUACUCCUCCCUUGCAAGACAAACCGCCGCGACAGAUUGAAAUUUUCAAUUAUACAGUUUUUAAAGUCUCCUAAACACACGUGUUUAUAAUGUAUCCCAAGCGCUUAAUAGUAUUUACAUUUGCGCAACUCAUCUUAAGCAAAACAGUUUUAUUAUUCAACUUUUUGUUUGUUGUUUUAAAAGCAAAUCACAGGAAACGUGUUUACGUCCUUUAUAGUCAUUAUCAAAUCUAACGAUGUCAGUGAGUUUUCAGUGAAAAUAUUGUACAUGCUACACAUAAAACGUUAACGGAGACUAACGGCCUCUAUCAGCAAAAUAAAAUAGCAGGUUGUCAGUUAUGAUAUACAAAGGCAAAUGCAAUUCAAAUUUAUCAUGGUGCCGUCAUUUUUUUUUUAUUCAUGUCAAAAGAACCCGACUGCUCGUCAAAAUAUAUAUAGCGUUACUUCGUACAAUAUAUGUUUUUUAAAGUUCAUUAUACUAAACUCUUAUACUAAUUCAUAUGUAUAUAGCAGAUUGUCGUUAACAAUAAAAGUACAUGAGUAAAGGCUGAUUUCAACGUUUCACGGUGAUAAAAAUGUAAUUGUUUUGAGAAAUAAGUAUGAGAAUAUAUGCUCUUAACGUUUUAUUGGUUCCCAUCUGAAAAAAAAAGAAAAAGCAGUACAUGCAUACGCACUUGUAAAUAAAUGACCAUUGGUGUAUUGAGUCGAACCAAUCAUUCGUUUGCUCUUAAAAAGAAUGGGCCAUUUUAUAAAAGAAGUGAAGUCGUGUUUUUUGAUAGAACAUUAUAUCCUUACACUGUUUUAAUAAAUACAGGAAAUGAAAAAUGAUAAAUUACACGACUCCCAUACACCGAGAUAUCUCUAUCCGAGUUCAUUCAUAAGAAUUACAAAGUCCUCUAUUAUCUAAACAAUUUAUUAACUUUCUUCUACGUCUUUCCUGGGGUUUUUUGAUGAAAAUCCCCACACUGAUUACUAUAAAUUGACAUAGUCUGUUCUUUUCUUUUAUUAUACCACGGCUGUUCGCAAUGAAACCUCAAACGCUUUUUGUUCUUGUGUCCUUGAUUGGGAUGUUACUGACUCCUCAACAAAUUGAGGGAGUUCUGGACGAUGAAGCAGUUCAGGCUAAUGCUGAUCCUAGAGCUGAAUUAAAAGAUCCCGGGAGAAGAAGUAAUGGUAUUUUUGGAGUUGGUGGACCGAUUCGUCGGACGCGGCGACCAAGAACAUAGUGUACACCCCGGAAGCUGUAUAACGAAGAUCUUGGAGGCUGUAUAGCGAAGACCCCGGAAGCUGUAUAGUGACUUUUAAUGGCAAUAGUUAAUAUAGGAAAGUUCAAAUUGCCCAUCAAAUAUCCCCUUUUGUAUGCGGAACACAUUUUCGAAAAAUAAUUUACAACAACAAAGUUCUGUACCACAAAACCCCAUGAGAUCGAUGGCCAUAAAACAACCCAAUCUACAAGAUGCUUCUGACGACACAAUCUGUUUUCUGUGAAAUCUUGAUGCAGACGAAAAUCCUACAUAUGUCAUAUAAUGUAGUUGGACAUUGCGGCUUCAAAUUAACCAAUCUAUUUUCAAUUUUAAUUAGAUUCUGGUUUUCUUUCAUAUAUAACUAUGUCGUCACAUUUUAUUGUCUGUAUUCCAAUCAAAAUCUUUUUAGCAAUAAAAUUGGUCUAAUAUUUGUGA